UACGUAGGGGGCAAGCGUUGUCCGGAGUUAUUGGGCGUAAAGAGCGUGUAGGCGGCCGUACAGGUCAGCUGUGAAAACUCGAGGCUCAACCUCGAGACGUCGGUUGAAACCGUACGGCUAGAGUCCGGAAGAGGAGAGUGGAAUUCCCGGUGUAGCGGUGAAAUGCGCAGAUAUCGGGAAGAACACGCGUGGCGAAGGCGGCUCUCUGGACGGUACUGACGCUGAGGCGCGAAAGCGUGGGGAGCGAACAGG
rnacentral:rRNA from 1 species